rnacentral:rRNA from 1 species
GACGAACGCUGGCGGCGUGCUUAACACAUGCAAGUCGAACGGAAAGGCCCUGCUUUUGUGGGGUGCUCGAGUGGCGAACGGGUGAGUAACACGUGAGUAACCUGCCCUUGACUUUGGGAUAACUUCAGGAAACUGGGGCUAAUACCGGAUAGGAGCUCCUGCUGCAUGGUGGGGGUUGGAAAGUUUCGGCGGUUGGGGAUGGACUCGCGGCUUAUCAGCUUGUUGGUGGGGUAGUGGCUUACCAAGGCUUUGACGGGUAGCCGGCCUGAGAGGGUGACCGGCCAAAUUGGGAAUGAGAUACGGCCCAGACUCCUAAGGGAGGGAAGAGUGGGGAAUAAUGGACAAUGGGCGGAAGCCUGAUGGAGCAAAGCCGGGUGCGGGAUGGAGGCAUUUGGGUUGUUAACCGGUUUCGCCUGGGACGAAGGGGUAGUGGAGGUAAUUGGGAAAGGAGGAACGGGCAACUGAGU